AUUGAACGCUAGCGGCAGGCCUUACACAUGCAAGUCGAGCGAGCGGCGGCCGGGUGAGUACUGUAUGGGGACCUGCCCAGUAGAGGGGGAUAACUACUCGAAACAGUGGCUAAUACCGCAUACUCUCGGAUGAACCCAUAUCGGAUUAGCUAGUAGGUGGGGUAAAGGCUCACCAAGGCGACGAUCUGUAGCUGGUCUGAGAGGAUGAUAAGCCACACUGGGACUGAGACACGGCCCAGAAUCCUACGGGAGGCAGCAGUGGGGAAUUUUGCACAAGGGGGGCAACCCUGAUCCAGCCAUGCCGCGUGUAUGAAGAAGGCCUUAGGGUUGUAAAGGACUUUUAGCGGGGAGGCGUUACCCGCAGAAUAAGCACCGGCUAACUCCGUGCCAGCAGCCGCGGUAAUAC
rnacentral:rRNA from 1 species